UACGUAGGUGGCAAGCGUUGUCCGGAUUUACUGGGCGUAAAGGGAGCGUAGGUGGAUAUUUAAGUGGGAUGUGAAAUACUCGGGCUUAACCUGGGUGCUGCAUUCCAAACUGGAUAUCUAGAGUGCAGGAGAGGAAAGGAGAAUUCCUAGUGUAGCGGUGAAAUGCGUAGAGAUUAGGAAGAAUACCAGUGGCGAAGGCGCCUUUCUGGACUGUAACUGACACUGAGGCUCGAAAGCGUGGGGAGCAAACAGG
rnacentral:rRNA from 1 species